rnacentral:rRNA from 1 species
ACGGGCCCUGAGAGGGGGAGCCCGGAGAUGGACUCUGAGACAUGAGUCCAGGCCCUACGGGGCGCAGCAGGCGCGAAAACUUCACAAUGCGCGAAAGCGUGAUGAGGGAACCCCAAGUGCUNGCUCGAAAGAGUCAGCUGUUUCCCUGCUUAAAAAGCAGGGAGAGUAAGGGCUGGGUAAGACGGGUGCCAGCCGCCGCGGUAAUACCUGCAGCCCGAGUGGUGGCCGCUAUUAUUGGGCCUAAAACGUCCGUAGCCGGCCUAGUAAAUGCCUGGGUAAAUCGUGAGGCUUAACCUCACGAAUCCUGGGUAGACUGCUAGGUCUUGAGACCGGGCGAGGCUGGAGGUACUCCAGGGGUAGGGGUGAAAUCCUGUAAUCCCUGGAGGACGACCAGUGGCGAAAGCGUCCAGCCAGAACGGGUCUGACGGUGAGGGACGAAGCCCUGGGGCGCAAACGGGAUUAGAUACCCCGGUAGUCCAGGGUGUAAACGCUGCUCGCUUGAUGUUANGUANGNUUCGGGCCUACCUAGUGUCGGAGAGAAGUCGUUAAGCGAGCUGCCUGGGGAGUACGGCCGCAAGGCUG